AUAUGGCGGAGCUAACGGCCGUGUGCGGAGCUAGCUAGCUUGCUUAGCUAGGUGCAACUUGAACAUACAGAAGGAAUGUCCAGCCUGCUAACACCUGCUGAGUGCUCUUUCACCUUCUGCCAGUGAGAAGAAUAGCUCUGACAAGGUUGACUGGCUCCACAGAAAAGAAUUCAAAUCAAAACCUCUUGAGCCCUGCGGAACAGUUGUCCAGAUGACAAAGGACUAAAUGGCAGGCUUUACAACGUCACAAACUGUCAGCAUUAUCACCUUUAGCCAUUUAUUUAUUUAUUUUUCAAAGAUUUCAGAUUAAGUCGCUUUCAGAUGCUGAGAUUAUAGCAGGUCUAAAUAAACUAUGUGGCUAAAUGCAGGCUUACUAUACAUUUUUA